GUAGUUUGAUCGUGGCUCAGAUUGAACGCUGGCGGCAUGCCUUACACAUGCAAGUCGAACGGCAGCAUGAUCUAGCUUGCUAGAUUGGAUGGCGAGUGGCGAACGGGUGAGUAAUACAUCGGGAACGUGCCCUGUAGUGGGGGAUAACCUAGUCGAAAGAUUAGCUAAUACCGCAUACGACCUGAGGGUGAAAGUGGGGGACCGCAAGGCCUCAUGCUAUAGGAGCGGCCGAUGUCUGAUUAGCUAGUUGGUGGGGU
rnacentral:rRNA from 1 species